GAUGAACGCUGGCGGCGUGCCUAAUACAUGCAAGUCGAGCGAACAGACGAGGAGCUUGCUCCUCUGACGUUAGCGGCGGACGGGUGAGUAACACGUGGAUAACCUACCUAUAAGACUGGGAUAACUUCGGGAAACCGGCGCUAAUACCGGAUAAUAUAUUGAACCGCAUGGUUCAAUAGUGAAAGACGGUUUUGCUGUCACUUAUAGAUGGAUCCGCGCCGCAUUAGCUAGUUGGUAAGGUAACGGCUUACCAAGGCAACGAUGCGUAGCCGACCUGAGAGGGUGAUAGGCCACACUGGAGCGGAGACACGGUCAAGACGACUACGGGACGCAGCAGUAGGGAAUCUGCCGCAAUGGGCGAAAGCCUGACGGAGCAACGCCGCGUGAGUGAUGAAGGUCUUCGGAUCGUAAAACUCUGUUAUUAGGGAAGAACAAAUGUGUAAGUAACUAUGCACGUCUUGACGGUACCUAGUCAGAAAGCCACGGCUAACUACGUG
rnacentral:rRNA from 1 species